UACGUAGGUGGCAAGCGUUGUCCGGAAUUAUUGGGCGUAAAGCGCGCGCAGGCGGCCUUUUAAGUCUGAUGUGAAAUCUUGCGGCUCAACCGCAAGCGGUCAUUGGAAACUGGAGGGCUUGAGUACAGAAGAGGAGAGUGGAAUUCCACGUGUAGCGGUGAAAUGCGUAGAUAUGUGGAGGAACACCAGUGGCGAAGGCGACUCCCUGGUCUGUAACUGACGCUGAGGCGCGAAAGCGUGGGGAGCAAACAGG
rnacentral:rRNA from 1 species